AGCACAUUGACGUAGACGUUAACCGCACCUUCAGGAAUAACCUCUUCUUCUGGGAGCGGAGGUGGGCUACUUCUAGGACAUGAACAAGUUUGCGGCCAUCCUACUGAUGUUCCUGAAUUAAGAAGAUGCCUUCUGGAGGCUAGUGCAGCUGAUGACUGACGACAAGCACACCAUGGGUGCCUGCCAUCCACCAGACACCCCGCAAGCCCACCGCCACAUAAAGCCCAGGCAGCAACAUCACCUCCUCUGCCCCCAGCCUGGCUGCAGAGGCCAGUAGAUGGCCAGGCUUCAUCCCUGGAUUCCUGACAUUGCUAAGAUUCCAGGCCCAUCACAGGCACAUUCUCGGCAGAGCCCUCCCCAAGUUGAAGGGACAUAUGUCCCUGCCUGGGCCACCCCCAGGGCCACACGACAGGCCUGACUCCGUGACCCCGCUGAGGCCCCGGCAACCAGCUCCACCCAGCCUGCUGAAGACGGCGCCACUGGGCCCAGGACACCCCUCCUGCCCUGAGGCAGCUGAAGCCAGCAUCCCUCCCAUGAGUGACCAGCACCAGCACAGCCAUGAUGGAGCCAGGACAGCACCCCAAGAGCUGCGUCAAGACCCCACACAACCGCAUGGCCCCCUGAGCUCUGUGUCCAUAGGGAGCCUGGACGUUCAGGGGCCUCCAGAGGAUGAGGUGACUGUGAGCACAGGGACCCCGAGGCUCCCGGGGACCCCGAGGUCCCCAGAAGCCAGCAGCAUGCCCUGCUUUUUCACGCUGAGCUUCUUGGAGAAUGGACCCUACCCCUACCCCCAUAUAGCACAAGUCCCUGACUCCAAAGGGCCUGAAUUUGGGCUCCAGGAGAGCAGAGGCUGUGUGAGCACCCCCCAGCCUGGACUGUGACUAAAGGGGCUGCCCCGGCCGGUCAGGAACGCUGGCUCAAGGCAAGGCGAGCCCUCUCGGAGCUGUAUGUGGUCUCCUACACCCUGAGCAUGCCCCACAAGGUCCCUUUGGUGACCUGAGGAGCCUCUGGGAGCAACAGGCCACCUCCACCCUCACACGCAUAAGGAGCAGAGGGUGCUGCUGUUUGGGCAGACACAACACACUGUGUCCAAGUCAGUGACUGCCUUUUGGGGCCCCUAAAUCUCAGCAAAUACAGCCCCACCUGGGGUCCAACUGGGUUCCCUGCCCCCCCAGCCAUUCGCUAUGAAGGUCUCCCUCCAGGGGACGGGCAGACUUUGGUUUCAGUUUCCCCCCUUGCUGGUUAAAGGUUAAUACAUUUUCGUGCAUUAA